CAAAAUACCAGGACAAAAAUGUUAAUAAUGACAAAAAAUAUAGACUAAGAAGUUAUUUACCCUAGAACAUUAAUAGCCUGCAACACCCAAUCCAAAUCCUAAUGAGUUCAUCUUGAUGAAAGAAGUUGUAGGGAAUUGAUCUCUAAAGAGUGGAAGCACAGAUCCCAAGGGAACCAAGACACCAAAAGACAAGCAGAUUAAUACCCAACAAAAUGACCAACAAUGAAGGAAGCAAAAUGAUAAGUGGAAGUUGAUCAAGUAGGAAGGUGG
rnacentral:misc_RNA from 1 species